CUAACAGUAGCUUUAGUGUAGCGUAGUGUUAGCUUUUUUAAGCUACACUACUCAAAGGUUACUGUUAGU
rnacentral:miRNA from 1 species